AAAAGUAGUCAACUAACAAAAUGUAGUAAAUUUUUUGCUUAACAUUUUCUUAGUUGACAACUUUUUU
ensembl:ncRNA C49A1.12 ncRNA